rnacentral:lncRNA from 1 species
GCUCUUGGAAAUCAAACCCUCUCAGGUUGGGUGGCUGGACGAUUCUCCUCACACUUACAAUGGGACAAGGGGAACCAGGAGGCCCCCAAGGGGAUCCCUGGGUUCCACACGAACUCCUCCUACCCUCAUUGUGUGACAGCAGCCAUGCCUCCUCCUGGGGAUCAGGAUCUAUUACCUGUGCCUGGAGAGGAGGGGACUCCUCUUCUCACCCGCUGGUCUCUGGACACAUACUGUCCAAUUCCCCUGUGGCAGCUGUAAUGUGUAGUUCAAUGGGCACUCAUUUGUCCCCUUUUAAGGGUACCCUCCUUUAGAAUCCAGGACCUUCUACCCUGCAGAGUGUGGUUUUGGGAGAGAAGUGCAAAAUCCCACGACAGGAUUGAGAUUGGACGUCUUUGGGAACCAUUACUCGGCCCAUCACAUCUGAGUAUGUUGAAGUCACCGAGGAUCAAGGAGACAGCACUGCUGGAGAGGGCGAUAGUGAACCAGGAACUACAAGAGUCAGGACUGAGAGGAACGGCCUGGGGCCCACAGGGAAUGGCUGCAAUGAGGGGAGUGGGGCCUGAAUCUGAUGACAGCUUUGGGGGCUUAGGAAGGAAGGAGGCAGAAAGGUCUGAGAACCACAGUGAGGAGUGAGGAUGCCACCCCACCUCUGGGCCAAGGGUACAAGGUCCCUGUGCAAACUCCCCCAUGUGGGAGGACUUUGGAAGGGACCACAUCCUCUGGCAGACACAGACAUCGCUGGAGCUGUGAGGUCCAGGAACAUCCUGAGACAGGAUGUGGAGGUUUUGCUGAUCAUGGGCUGAGAAUUCCAAGGGGCACAGCGGGAAGACUUCUGGAUUUGGGAAUGGGGUAUGGGGAGACAAAAUAGGGGUGUGCAGAGCCUUGUGGGGAUGUGAAUGCAGGGUGUUUGGGGGACCCAGUGUGACUGACACAAACAGGGAAAAGGCAUGAUGAGCUCAGUCCUGGUGGACUCAAGGCAGAUGAUGGUGCUGAGGCUGUGGGAGACGAGGGAGGAGGCUCAGGGGUGGCUUUCACCUGGGCUCUGUCCAUGGAGGUGAGGACAGGGAGAUAGUUGGGCCUCAGUGCUGUGUGGACCCUUUCUUGUCUCCCUGAUGACUGGAUGGAGGGCCUGGAGGAAGAGGGGUCUUAGAGGAUUCACUCAUGUCCCUGGGGGAGGGGGACUCACUCCAGGUCUCAGGUCUGCACUGACACAUUUGUUUGUGGCUUGGGGCUGCCUGCUAUAAACUAUUGGGGGUUCGUCCAUUUUGGAGUUAUAACCUAAGGCAGAAACUCAGAUGGUUCAAAUGUCCUCUUCAUGAAGCAAUGUUAUCAGCGUAUCAUUUAGAUUGUCUUGCAAGAGUCUCAUUUGUUGUUUUUCUAAAUGCCUGCCAAUAUUGUUUGAAAAUCUACAAAUGUGAUAAAUGUAUCUUCAAAGUUAACUGGUUGCAGGUUGUUUAACCUUAUAUGUACAGUUUCACAUAUGUAUAAAAACAGUAGUUUGGGC